rnacentral:rRNA from 1 species
AACGAACGCUGGCGGCAUGCCUAACACAUGCCAGUCGAACGAGACCUUCGGGUCUAGUGGCGCACGGGUGCGUAACGCGUGGGAACCUGCCCUUAGGUUCGGAAUAGCUCCCCGAAAGGGGUGCUAAUACCGGAUAAUGUCUUCGGACCAAAGAUUUAUCGCCUUUGGAUGGGCCCGCGUUGGAUUAGCUAGUUGGUAGGGUAAAAGCCUACCAAGGCGACGAUCCAUAGCUGGUCUGAGAGGAUGAUCAGCCACACUGGGACUGAGACACGGCCCAGACUCCUACGGGAGGCAGCAGUGGGGAAUAUUGGACAAUGGGCGAAAGCCUGAUCCAGCAAUGCCGCGUGAGUGAUGAAGGCCUUAGGGUUGUAAAGCUCUUUUACCCGGGAUGAUAAUGACAGUACCGGGAGAAUAAGCUCCGGCUAACUCCGUG